AUGAACAGCUCGUCGAGUCAGAUGAAGAUGGGCAUGAACUCGGCGAGUUGGAUGAACAACUCGGCAAGUUGGAUGAAGAUUGCUUUGUGCUCAGCGAGUCUGUUCUUAGACUCGGCGAGUCAGGUCGCGUAGUCCCAAACCCUUCGAGUUAAGACUCGAGUCAGCGAGUCGAGCAAGGACUCAGUGAGUUGGUCAGGACAGGAUUCAGGAAUCUGUAGACUCGGCGAGUCAAGUCGUGAUUGGAAGGACUUUGAGCAUAAGAACUCGGCGAGUCAGUAAGUGGACUCGGCGAGUAGGGUUGACCUGGAAGGUUGACUUUGACCAGGACUUUGACUUUGGCAAGGGUUGACUUGGUUGACCUUUGAAGGUCAGUUAGACUAAGUAAUGUGUUGAUAUUGGUAGCUCGGGGAGCUAGUGGAGCAGCAGUUCGGAGUCAGUGGUCGGGUAGCGGUCAAAGGGAUUAGCAGCAGCAGUUCAGCAGUAUCAGGUGAGUUUCCCUUUGUAUGAAUGGGUCUACGGCCACAAUGCCGGCCCAUGUAGUUAUGAGUAGAAGACCCGGGGGUUAGCCCUAGGCACAGUAUGCUAGUAUGAUAUUCGGACGAGGUCCAAUGAUAGAGGGCGGGUGCCCAAGGAGUGGUUUAUGUGAUAGUUUAUACUUGUUGUCUGUGUGAUACUUGUAUGUGCCUGGUAGGGAGGUGAGUGUGGGCGAGGUCCCGUAUCUCACCAAUAGCAGAGUGUGGAUGGUGUUCCACAUCUCAGUAGCAGCAGUCCAGGGGCGAGGCCCAAGUUAGGAAAGGAGUGAGGGUGGGCUGGGCCCGUAUCUCACUAUCAGCAGGAGUAUGGACGAGGUUCCAUGACUCAUCAGUAGCAGGACACGGGCGGGGCCCAGAGAUAGGCGAGGCCUUAGAGCAAGAGUUGUUAGUAUAUGUUUAGUUUAUGUAAUGUUAUGUGAUAUGUUUAUGUGCUAUUAUAUGUUAGAGGGCGAGGCCCUGUGACAGGCGAGGCCUAAGUGAAACAGAUCUGUAUCCGAGCGGGGCUCGAAGCCAGGCGGGGCCUGGAGCGGCGGGGCCGUUGUAGCGGGCGAGGCCCGAAGUAGAGGGCGAGGCCCAGGAUAGCGGGCGUGGCCCAGUAUGUGCAGUAUGUGGUUAUGCAUGGUAUGUGGUAAGGUGGGGAACUCACUAAGCUUCGUGCUUACGGUUUUCAGUUUUGUUUUCAGGUACUUCCGGUAGCGGAGGGAGGAGCUCGGGGUGAUCGCAUGGCACACACCAUAGAUUAGUCAGCCUGGGAAUGUUUACUCUGAUAAUAAACAUGUGUUUUGAAAACUUAUACUCAGAUUAUGUUUUGGAAUGAUGUCUUUGGUUAAAGUAAUGUUUUAUUAAAAAGAAAUUUUUGGUCUUAAAUUUUGGGAUGUUACAUGUUGGUAUCAGAGCCUUGGUUUGAGGGAUUCAGGCAUACUCUCGGGUGUGCCUGAACUCAAACUGAGGGGUCGGAUGAAAAGUUUUCAAAAUGUGAAAAGACAGUUUUGUAAAAAGAAUUUUGAGAAUGAAAAACAGUUUUAGAAAAGCAAAAAGAAUCCAGAAAGAAAAGAACUUUGAAAAGAGAAAAGAGGUGUGGUGCAUGCAAUCAACCGAGCUCAAGUAAGUACCCCAAAAUACCCAUACAAGUUUAUGUUAUGAUUAUCAGUUGAUAGAACAGCAUGCUAGAAUAGGACUAAGGAUCUAGGGAUGAUGCCUUAUGUGCCUGUUAUUUGUGCUUUUGAGCUGCAUAGUAGUGCUGAUUAGACAGUAGUAGGAUAGCCUGUUUAGGUUAUGCCUGAGUUUAUGAGUUUGUGUUGCAUGCUAGUUCAGAUUCUUGCUAUGUGGAUAUGAUUGCUUGAGUAUGUUGUGGUUAGAUUUUCCCCUUGUCCGAAUGCUGCUUGCUUUGUGCAUUAUGGGAUUUUGAGUGAUGGGAGUUAGCCAUUAGGUGGAUACGUCACGUCACAUGUGAUCAGGGUUGAAUAAUCUCAGAGUGCUGGAUUUGGCCCUAUUGCGCAGCUCUCGUUUGAGUCCAACCGUUGUAGGGACGAGUCUUUUACUUGAAGGAUUAUCUGAGCCUCGUCACAUGUGAUGGUAUCCAGGUGAUGGCUAAUUGGCAUCACAAGGAGACCUUCAGCAGCUGAGGACUGGUUUGAGUUGAGUCAGAGGUUUCCCUAGGGUAAGCCUAGGAUGAGAUAGAGUUGGGAGCAGUAUUAGUGGAUAAGGGACCUGGUGGAGUCAAAGCAAUUCCUGAGGAAAGUACGGAUAGAUGUGGAAGGUAGUAUGGGCCCGUACUACUGAAAGCAGAGGAUCCGUACUCGAUUCAGGAAGGGCAGAGGCAAGACCGGGAACCUGGUAGGGCAUGUUUGAUCUUGUAUCAAUGAUGGGUAUUCUGAUUGUGGUUGUGGUAUAUUUUCAGCAUGGUGACAUUGCGAGAGAGACCAGCGGGCGGAUCAGGCGCCGGAGAGGGAUCAGGCUCGGGUUCAGGGACCGAGCAGCUCGAGGAGCGGAUGAGAGAGUUGAUAUCAGCUGAGGUUUCAUGCAGUAUUCUAGCUCAGACUCCUGUGAUCUUUUGCACGGUCAAGGAGGGUAUACUGGAGAUCUUGGAUGAGAGGCUAGGAGCCUUCCAUACUGAGAUGAUGGCAUUGAUGGGAGCGCGUACUCUGACAUUUCAAGAGUUCAGAGCCUUCGGGGCACCAGAUUAUCAUGGGGCUAGGGACCCCAUUGCUAGUAGCAGAUGGUUGGCUGAUGUUGCCAACGCUUUUCGUUCGAGCAAGUGUCCUGAGGGGGACAAGGUCAGACUCGCUUCCUGUCUUCUGAAGGACAGAGCGAGAGAUUGGUGGGAGUAGAUUGGUCAUGCCUUGGGGGAUGAUUCCCCGUUGGACGCGAUGACUUGGAACGAUUUCUCGGCUAGGUUCAGGGCGGAGUUUUUGCCGAUUAUUGAGGUGCAGUAGCUGGCACGAGAGUUUCAGGAUUUGACGCAGACUACUGAGACUGUGGCGGAGAUCACCGCCAAGUUCAGGGAGAGGGCUCUUCUUGUACCGCAGUAUGUCGCGGAUGAGGAGAUGAAGAAGGCUCGGUACCAUGAGAUGUUGAGGGAUGACAUCAGGGAGUUCGUGAGCAGAUCCAGCUGUAAGACGCUAGAAGAUAUGAUUUCUCGGGCUAGAGAAAGGGAAAUUUAUUUGGAGCAAAUCCGGAAGAGGAAGCCGGAUGAGGUUCAGGUAGCUGCUUGUUCGGGCAAAAGGCCCAAGGGAUCGGAUUCGAGAUCGAGGGAUCGUCAGGACCACAGUUNCUAGGAGCCUUCCAUACUGAGAUGAUGGCAUUGAUGGGAGCGCGUACUCUGACAUUUCAAGAGUUCAGAGCCUUCGGGGCACCAGAUUAUCAUGGGGCUAGGGACCCCAUUGCUAGCAGCAGAUGGUUGGCUGAUGUUGCCAACGCUUUUCGUACGAGCAAGUGUCCCGAGGGGGACAAGGUUAGACUCGCCUCCUGUCUUCUGAAGGACAGAGCGAGGGAUUGGUGGGAGGAGAUUGGUCAUGCUUUGGGGGAUGAUGCCGCGUUGGACGCGAUGACUUGGAGCGAUUUCUCGGCCAGGUUCAGGGCGGAGUUUUCGCCGAUUAUUGAGGUGCAGCAGCUGGCACGAGAGUUUCAGGAUUUGACGCAGACUACUGAGACUGUGGCGGAGAUCACCGCCAAGUUCAGGGAGAGGGCUCUUCUUGUACCGCAGUAUGUAGCGGAUGAGGAGAUGAAGAAGGCUCGGUACCAUGAGAUGUUGAGGGACGACAUCAGGGAGUUCGUGAGCAGGUCCAGCUGUAAGACGCUGGAAGAUAUGAUUUCUCGGGCUAGGGAAAGGGAAAUUGAUUUGGAGCAGAUCCGGAAGAGGAAGCCGGAUGAGGUUCAGGUAUCAGCAGGUUCGGGCAAAAGGCCCAAGGGAUCGGAUUCGAGAUCGAGGGAUCAUCAGGACCACAGUUGGUGCGGAAAGUGUGGCAGGGCGCACGGGGGUGCGUGCAGGAGUGGUAGCGGUGGUGAGUCUGGCUGUUUCAAUUGCGGUCGGACGGGUCAUUUCAGCAGGGAUUGUAAUGUUACCGCCGCGCAGGGAUCAGACUUGAUAGGUUUUCAUUGCAACCAGCGGGGCCACAAGAAGGCCCAGUGCCCCAGUUUGUCUUCGGCAGGACGGGUGAUGGCACCCGCCCCUGCAACCUUGAGGAUCACGGAUGGCCGUCAGGGCCGGGUAGAGGCACCUGCAGCAGGGAACAGUGCUUUUCAGAUGACGACCUUGGAGGCGCGAGCAUCGCCGGACGUUGUAGGUAUGCAAUUUCCAUUUUCAGUUCUUUUAUUUGUGCAUGAUUAUAUUGUUAUGGUUCCGCAUCAUUAUUGGUAUGAGUAUUUUGUUUUGAGUGGUUGAUUGUGAUCGAGUUAUAUUCCAUCUGCAUACCUUGGAUAUUUGUAUGGUAGUAAAGAAGGUUUCAAAGGGAGCAGUAGUUGUAGCAUGCGUGGAAGGGAUUUGGUGCGUCUUGUUAGCUCGUAGUGGUUCAGUGAUAGAGAUGGAUUGGUGAAAUCCCUAGCUAUGGUUGGCUUGGGUUCCUCAGUAGAUGGAUUAUGGAAUGGUAGCAAAGAUCGGGGUCUCUUUUGAGUUUUGAGCAGCAAGGGGUAAGCUGGAUCGAAGUGGGGGAGAAUCCUUCGAGUAAGCCAGGGGAGGAGCACGCAGACCCAGAUUGAGUACGUGACCUCUGUGAUGGAGAAGAAGUAGUUCAGCGUUUGAUGGUUUGAGGAUUCAAGGUUGGGAGUUUGAGGACUCCCCACCAGCUAAUGUGUGUGUUGGUAAUGGUUAAUGCGUGCUUGGGAAUUCAGGUUGUGGAUCGCCCGUAGGACUCGAGGGAGUCGGAAUGAGGAUCUUGAGAGCUAAUGGCACAUGGGUGCCUUCGUAUUAGCAGUCAGUGGUGGAAGUGUUGUAAGACUACGGGGCAGCCGUAGCAUUCACUAGCAGUCAGCAAUGGAUGGUGAUGUAAGGCUAUGGGUAAGCCGUAGCAUUCCUUAGUCGCUUCGUUAGCGGAGUUGGGGCGAGGCCCUUAUUUCCUAGUGAUCAGAUGGGGAUCAGGAUGGGUAGUGGUUGAGAAUGAUAGGGAGUUGCCUGUAUAGCCCUAGCGAGGUGAGACCUUGGGAGAGGCCGCUCCAGGAUAUAGUUGGGUGAGACCCGUGGGCGAGGCCCGUAUGAGAUUAGCAGUGUAGAUGAGACCUGGGAGCAGGGUUGCUCAGUAGUAUGGUUGGGUGAGACCCGUGGGCGAGGCCCGAGCGAGAGUGAUUAGACUAGUGGGACUAGAAGGAUAGAGGCGGGUGGGACCCGUGGGCGAGGCCCGUGAGUUUUAGCAGCACAGGUGGGACCUGGUAGGGACCUUAGUGUCAAGUUAGGGGAUCGGGGAUCCCAGGUUUGUAGUGCCUGAAUGGCAGAAUAGAUUGAGCAGUUAUAGGUGGUCGAAGUUUCUUCGGAAGUCGCUGGGAGCGACUAGUGGUGGUGUUGGGACUAGCUACCGGUGGGAGCCGGUAAUCCAGAUAUUGAUAGGUUGGUAGGGACCAGAGUGGUAUCAGUUCAACCGGAAGGCAGAGGAGGAAUGGCAGAAAUAUCCAGUCAGUAGUAGUGCGGGAAGGCGGGUUAUGGUGGAAUUCAAUUAGUUGAGUCGAGGGGUGCUCGACACCAAGUUAUGACAAGAGAGGAGGGUCAGUGGUUACUGGCGGUAAUGACCCGUACUGGAUUUAGCGGGAAUAAGGGAUUGGUGAAGAUAGGAUCUUCACAGUGACUAAGGAGAUAGUUGUUUUUUUUGGGCAUCGCCUUGGGAAGGCAAGGGAAUUGCGUGAGGAAAGAAGGAGUGAACCCCUAUAGGUUCAGUGCAGUACUCGGUGAGUACCCGUUGGAUUAUCGGUUGAGUAAGUUGUGUUUCCAGAAUGUUCAGGGUCAGGGUUGACCCGAGAUGGUUAUCCGCAGGAUUUGAUGCUGGUCAGAAUGAUCGGGCGGUAGGCCAGCGAAGGAGGGCAGCUAGUGUUGGGAUAAUUGGAUGGGUAUUGUAGGCAGGCCGCAGGCGGUGGGCCAUAGCAAACUUCAAGGACGAAGUUUAGUUUAAGUGGGGGAGAGUUGUAACACCCAAGUCUUGAAAGCCCAGAAAGUAAAGGAAACCCUAGAUUUAAAGGGGGACUCGGCGAGUCCAAGGAGGAACUCGGCGAGUCCGAGCGGGAUCCGAGUCGAGGAGUAAGUGACCGACUCGACGAGGCGGCCAAGGNGUGAAUCAGCGAGUCUGGUCUGUGCGAGGAAAACCCUAAAUCCGGGGCUUGGAGCCUAUUUAAUCGCCUCAUUCUUCUUCCUAGGGCUCCUUUACUGCCUCUCCAACCUAGAAUGCCGCACCCUAAGCCUCCAUUGUGCUCAUUCAAGCUUUUAGCCAUUUUUGAGUGGUUUUAAGGAAGAAGAAGAAGUGAGAAUCUUUGAAGCAUCAAGGAGUGGCCUUGGAUCCGAAGUUUGGGGAACAUUUCUGAGCAUUUGAAGGUAUUAAGUCGUUCCUCUCCUUUAGAUCUUCUUUGGUUAUGAGUUUUGGGGCUUUUAAGCCAUGUCUAAGAUCAAUCUCGAGCUUGAGGUCCAGAUCUGAGGUUGCUCCCUCAGAUCCAUGCUUGUUUUGGUUUAGAAUCCUGUAAAGUAUCAGCCAUUGAGUGGAUUUUGGAGCCCCUUGGCCUUAAACCCUAGUUUAUGGUGCAUUUUGCCUAAGAUCUCCAUUUCUACACGUAAAGUUUGCAACUUUACGUGGGGGAUAGGCUUGGGAAGGGUAAAUCUACAGUUUGGAGUCAAUGCAUGACUCGAAAGUCCUCUGCAUGUAUGAAGAUCUGAAUGGACUUGGCGAGUCCUUCGAGUGGACUCGACGAGUGGCUUGAAGAUGAGGAGGAACUCGACGAGCAUGAUGAACAGCUCGUCGAGUCGGAUGAAGAUGGGCAUGAACUCGGCGAGUUGGAUGAACAACUCGGCGAGUUGGAUAAAGAUUGCUUUGUGCUCGACGAGUCUGUUCUUAGACUCGGCGAGUCAGGUCGCGUAGUCCCAAACCCUUCGAGUUAAGACUCGAGUCAGCGAGUCGACCAAGGACUCAGUGAGUUGGUCAGGACAGGAUUCAGGAAUCUAUAGACUCGGCGAGUCAAGUCGCGAUCGGAAGGACUUUGAGCAUAAGAACUCGGCGAGUCAGUAAGAGGACUCAGCGAGUAGGGUUGACCUGGAAGGUUGACUUUGACCAGGACUUUGACUUUGGCAAGGGAUGACUUGGUUGACCUUUGAAGGUCAAUUAGACUAAGUAAUGUGUUGAUAUUGGUAGCUCGGGGAGCUAGUGGAGCAGCAGUUCGGAGUCAGUGGUCGGGUAGCGGUCAAAGGGAUUAGCAGCAGCAGUCAGCAGUAUCAGGUGAGUUUCCCUUUGUAUGAAUGGGUCUACGGCCACAAUGUCGGCCCAUGUAGUUAUGAGUAGAAGACCUGGGGGUUAGCCCUAGGCACAGUAUGCUAGUAUGAUAUUCGGACGAGGUCCAAAGAUAGAGGGCGGGUGCCCAUGAGAUGGUUUAUGUGAUAGUUUAUACUUGUUGUCUGUGUGAUACUUGUAUGUGCCUGGUAGGGAGGUGAGUGUGGGCGAGGUCCCGUAUCUCACCAAUAGCAGAGUGUGGAUGGUGUUCCACAUCUCAGUAGCAGCAGCCCAGGGGCGAGGCCCAAGUUAGGAAAGGAGUGAGAGUGGGCUGGGCCCGUAUCUCACUAACAGCAGGAGUAUGGACGAGGUUCCAUGACUCAUCAGUAGCAGGACACGGGCGGGGCCCAGAGAUAGGCGAGGCCUUAGAGCAAGAGCUGUUAGCAUACGUUUAGCUUAUGUGAUGUUAUGUGAUAUGUGUAUGUGCUGUUAUAUGUUAGUGGGCGGGGCCCUGUGACAGGCGAGGCCUAAGUGAAACAGAUCUGUAUCCGAGCGGGGCUCGAAGCCAGGCGGGGCCUGGAGCGGCGGGGCCGUUGUAGCGGGC
rnacentral:lncRNA from 1 species